UCCUAACCUUAAGGAUGAG
rnacentral:miRNA from 1 species